UAAGUUAGGAGUGAAAUACACAGGCUUAACCUGUGGCCCGCUCUUAAUACUGCUUUUCUUGAGUAUGGGAGAGGAAGAUGGAAUUUCCAGGUGUACCGGUGGAAUGCGUAGAUAUCUGGAAGAACACCAGUAGCGAAGGCGGUCUUCUGGCCCAAUACUGACGCUGAGGCUCGAAAGCUAGGGGAGCAAACAGGAUUAGAUACCCUGGUAGUCCUAGCCGUAAACGAUGGACACUAGUUGUCGGGGGAGUCAAUCCCUUCGGUGACGAAGCUAACGCAUUAAGUGUCCCGCCUGGGGAGUACGCUCGCAAGGGUGGAACUCAAAGGAAUUGACGGGGGCCCGCACAAGCGGUGGAGCAUGUGCUUUAAUUCGAUGCAACGCGAAGAACCUUACCUGGGUUUGACAUGGGGGUGAAAGUAACCAGAGAUGGAUACCUUUCCUUCGGGAACACCCUACACAGGUGCUGCAUGGUUGUCGUCAGCUCGUGUCGUGAGAUGUUGGGUUAAGUCCCGCAACGAGCGCAACCCCUACCCUUAGUUGCCAGCGGGUUAUGCCGGGAACUCUAGGGGGACUGCCUGGACUAACCAGGAGGAAGGUGGGGAUGACGUCAAAUCCUCAUGGCCCUUACGCCCAGGGCUAGACACGUGCUACAAUGGCCGGUACAAUAGGCUGCGAACUCGCGAGAGUAAGCUAAUCCGAUAAAACCGGCCUCAGUUCGGAUUGGAGUCUGCAACUCGACUCCAUGAAGGUGGAAUCGCUAGUAAUCGCGGAUCAGCAUGCCGCGGUGAUACGUUCCCGGGCCUUGUACACACCGCCCGUCAAGCCAUGAAAGACGGUAGUGCCCGAAGUCGUUCCCCUAACCCUCGGGAAGGGUGCGCCGAAGGUAAGACCGUGAUUGGGG
rnacentral:rRNA from 1 species